rnacentral:lncRNA from 1 species
GAGCAGGGCCGGCGCCCUCUCCUAGGCGCAGGCUGGGGAUGCAGGAGUGUGCCACUGUCACUGUCUUCUCAGCUGAUGCCUACUGCUCCUGGAAGGACAUGAGUACAAACAGCAGGCCAGUGUCAGGAGACAGGUGACCCUGAACAAGCUAGGUGACUUCGAACAAGUUAUUUAACAUCUCUCUUCCUUAAUUUCUUCACCUAUAAAAGUAAGAUAAUUGUGAGGACUACAUAAAUAGACAUAUAUAAAAGCACUCAGCACAAUGCCUGGUACUUGAUAAUAGUUCAAUAAAUGCUGGCCUCUCACCAUUAAGUCAACCAAGUUAAAAUUGGUAUGACUUUUUUAAACAGCAAAAACAAAACAAAAAAACCCUCACACACUAUAGCAGGGUGUCACGAAUGCAUGUGUCUGUAACACAGGGCCUUGAGUAAAGCAGGUUCAGCCCAGAUAAUAACUGUGGAGGGUGGUGGCCUCCACGGUACUGCAGGAAGCCCAGCCCUUCUCUCGUGCACACUUGCUCUCAGCACCAACUGGAACUCAGCAUGGAUCAUGCCUGUACUGCCAGAAUAACCCCAAAUCUGGAUUUUAAAUGAAAUUUCCUAAUUUUUAAAUGUUGACAACUGCCUCCAAAACGUUUGAAAAUCAAAUAGGUCCAAUGAACCAUACUGUGUGGCUGGACCAGGGCUUCUGAACUGUGUGUGGGCCUCUACUGUCCAGACUAACCCACAGGACCUGCCUGGGUAAAACCCAUAUCCAAAGUUUUUACUCAUUUCCCAUGGGAAAGCCUUACCAUUGACCAAGCCACAGAAGGACCCACAAAAAGUCUAGAAUGUUCUCUAAGUCACAGGCCAAGGAGGGGCCAGGCCUGCAGCAGGUGCCUCCUUGAUGACUUUCGGCCUGCUCACCGAGAAGGGAGGUGGAUCAUUUAUGAGCUGCAAAGGUGAUACAAAAUGCUAAUCAGCUUUAAGCUGACACUGGAUAACACAAGAAUUUACAUAGCGGGCAAGGAUAAAGAUGAAGUGGUAACACUUCAGAGGCUCCACAAAAUAUCCUGACUAUCUAGGCCAUAAACCUACA